rnacentral:rRNA from 1 species
CCGUGGUAAUUCUAGAGCUAAUACAUGCUUAAAAUCCCGACUUCGGAAGGGAUGUAUUUAUUAGAUUAAAAACCAAUGCCCUUCGGGGCUCACUGGUGAUUCAUAAUAACUUGUCGAAUCGCAUGGCCUUGCGCCGGCGAUGGUUCAUUCAAAUUUCUGCCCUAUCAACUUUCGACGGCUGGGUCUUGGCCAGCCAUGGUGACAACGGGUAACGGAGGGUUAGGGCUUGACCCCGGAGAAGGAGCCUGAGAAACGGCUACUACAUCCAAGGAAGGCAGCAGGCGCGCAAAUUACCCAAUCCCGACACGGGGAGGUAGUGACAAUAAAUACUGAUACAGGGCUCUUUUGGGUCUUGUAAUUGGAAUGAGUACAAUUUAAAUCCCUUAACGAGGAACAAUUGGAGGGCAAGUCUGGUGCCAGCAGCCGCGGUAAUUCCAGCUCCAAUAGCGUAUAUUAAAGUUGUUGCAGUUAAAAAGCUCGUAGUUGAACCUUGGGCCUGGCUGGCCGGUCUGCCUCACCGCAUGCACUGGUCCGGCCGGGCCUUUCCCUCUGGGGAGCCGCAUGCCCUUCACUGGGUGUGUCGGGGAACCAGGACUUUUACUGUGAAAAAAUUAGAGUGUUCAAAGCAGGCCUAUGCUCGAAUACAUUAGCAUGGAAUAAUAGAAUAGGACGUUGCGGUUCUAUUUUGUUGGUUUCUAGGACCGCCGUAAUGAUUAAUAGGGACAGUCGGGGGCAUCAGUAUUCAAUCGUCAGAGGUGAAAUUCUUGGAUCGAUUGAAGACUAACUACUGCGAAAGCAUUUGCCAAGGAUGUUUUCAUUAAUCAGGAACGAAAGUUAGGGGAUCGAAAACGAUCAGAUACCGUUGUAGUCUUAACCAUAAACUAUGCCGACUAGGGAUCGGACGAUGUUAUUUCUUGACUCGUUCGGCACCUUA